GAUGAACGCUGGCGGCGUGCCUAACACAUGCAAGUCGAACGGUAGCACAGGAGAGCUUGCUCUCUGGGUGGCGAGUGGCGGACGGGUGAGGAAUACAUCGGAAUCUACUUUUUCGUGGGGGAUAACGUAGGGAAACUUACGCUAAUACCGCAUACGACCUACGGGUGAAAGCAGGGGAUCUUCGGACCUUGCGCGAUUGAAUGAGCCGAUGUCGGAUUAGCUAGUUGGCGGGGUAAAGGCCCACCAAGGCGACGAUCCGUAGCUGGUCUGAGAGGAUGAUCAGCCACACUGGAACUGAGACACGGUCCAGACUCCUACGGGAGGCAGCAGUGGGGAAUAUUGGACAAUGGGCGCAAGCCUGAUCCAGCCAUACCGCGUGGGUGAAGAAGGCCUUCGGGUUGUAAAGCCCUUUUGUUGGGAAAGAAAUCCAGCUGGUUAAUACCCGGUUGGGAUGACGGUACCCAAAGAAUAAGCACCGGCUAACUUCGUGCCAGCCGCCGCCGUAA
rnacentral:rRNA from 1 species